rnacentral:rRNA from 1 species
UACGAAGGGGGCUAGCGUUGCUCGGAAUGACUGGGCGUAAAGGGCGCGUAGGCGGAUGGUUUAGUCAGACGUGAAAUUCCUGGGCUCAACCUGGGGGCUGCGUUUGAUACGGAUCAUCUAGAGUUUGGAAGAGGGUCGUGGAAUUCCCAGUGUAGAGGUGAAAUUCGUAGAUAUUGGGAAGAACACCGGUGGCGAAGGCGGCGACCUGGUCCUUGACUGACGCUGAGGCGCGAAAGCGUGGGGAGCAAACAGG